UGCCCGCUGCGCUCUCCUUCUCCCGGUUCCGCAUCUACGUGUUGAUUUGCAUAGAGUGACCGUGAAGGUUUGCUGAUCCAGUGGCCCAGGAGCAUCAGACAGUGAAUCCUCUUCACUUAUAUCCCAAUCUGCAGCAAUUAUAUAUAUUUGAAGCAGAAAAGAAACAGCUUGACUCUUUUUGUAAUGAAAAAUAUAAUAUUUGUUGAAUAUCCUUAUCAUUUAUCAAUGAGUGCCACAAUUCACAAACCUCUGCUGAUAACUGCGUCACUGAAACAGCCCACUUUAGCUUUUUUUUAUUUUUUAUUAUAUAUGAGAGAUGUGAAGUUGUCAUUCCAAUCGAACUAAAUCCCCCUUUUUCUGAAUAUGUCCUCCACUUUCCCAAAAGAUGAGAUAUUCAGAAAGACACCCACUGAUUGGAGCGUUAGGUUAGUUUGGCCUUAUUGCCGUAGUGUGCAAUACAUUUACCCCAGAUCCCUGCUGACAAACAUUGAACACGCAAUUAACUUGAUUUCUGAUGAAGUCUCCCUGUUGCCAUCCAGUAGCAGAAACAAAUCAUGAAAGGCACAGAUUCAAGACACCUGGGUGCAUCAAACAAAGCCAAAAUACACUUUUUAGUGUCCCCUCAAAAGGGAGUCAUCAUCAUCACCAUCAUCAUAAUCAUCACCACCAUCAUCUUCAUCACCAUCAUCAUCAUCAUCACCAACAUCUGUUUCAAUCCAACACUUCUUUGUAUCUGUACCCCUCCUGCAAAGUAUAUAACCUCUACGGACAAUAUCUACGACACACAACUCACACCAAAACAAUCUAGAUUGAUAAAUAAUGCCUACAGGUAAAAUGGAAAAAUAUGUGUUAUUUAUUUGGGGCUGAAGUAUUCCUUUAACAUAACAUCUCUAAUGUAAUUAUUUGCAUGUCCGUAUCUGAUUAAGAGCUCUAUAUGCAAGAAAGUAAAACACUGUUCACACAACCACGAAGGUGUACACGUGAUCCAAGCAGGUGAACACGCUUCAGUCAGGAAUAGUCGUCCUUUACAAUCUUGUGCUUUUCUCAGUUUACAUGUAGUUUUUACAAAAAGGAAUAGUUUCCCAUGAGACUUUGCAACUACACGGAUUGCAUACUUGUUUACAUUGAUCAAAUCUACAGGCACCAGCACACAACUCAACAUGUGCCGAUUUGUAUAAUCUGGACAAAACUUAAUCCCACUGCAUUACAAAUUAAGCAGCUAUACAGUAAUUACCAAAUUAACGACCAAAGUUCAUAAUAAUAAUAAUUCGUCAAAUACAAACAUAAUUCGGGAAGAAAUACGUUUCAGUCAAACGUAUUUGCAAAUUCCGUUUUAGUUCUGGGGCAACGUAAUUUCCGUGAAACAGGGUUGUAUCUGACCUGAGAUCGGAGAGAGUUCUUGUUCGAUGCAGCACAUCUGCAUCAACAGCUGCUUUCCUUUUCAGUCUUGACUGAGGCCGACACUCACUCUGGAUGUAGCGUGACGUAUAGUAGUGCAAAAAUAAAAGCAGUGUUGCCGGUCCAUCAAUCAUGGCGGCUUCUCCAAGCUGUUUUAACUAUCUGGCAAAUCACACGUUGGCUGGUGUACUACAACUGUAUCCACUAAAAAAUUUUUUAAAUUCUAUGAAUUAAUUGCAAUAAAUGGAUGAUGAAAAUGCCAAAAUGACUUCACUACAAAAAAAAAUUUAGUGCCUAAUUUAAAUCUAGGCUCUUGCCUAUCCAGACGAGAGGUCUGUUAACAAGUGUGCUCUCAACUUGUAUUAUGUUUCUGUCUUGUUUUGUUUAUUGAUUGAAUACUGACACCUGUGAUUGUUAAUGUAGGUGUGUACCUGUAAUGUGAUUGGAGUGUUAAUGAAUAAAUUUGAUUGAGUGAGCGCA